rnacentral:tRNA from 1 species
GGAAGCGUGGAUGAGUGGUUUAAAUCAACGGUUUACUAAACCGUCGUCCUGUAAUGGGACCGAGAGUUCGAAUCUCUCCGCUUCCG